rnacentral:rRNA from 1 species
AUAGCGUAUAUUAAAGUUGUUGCGGUUAAAAAGCUCGUAGUUGGAUCUGCGGCCUCGGAGGCUGGUCCCCCACUGGGUGUGACUAGUUUUCCAGGCCUACCUCGUUGGUUUUCCCUUGGUCCUCUUCACUGAGUGCCUUGGGUGACCAGCAAGUUUACUUUGAAAAAAUUAGAGUGCUCAAAGCAGGCGCGUAGCCUGAAUAGUGGUGCAUGGAAUAAUAGAAUAGGACCUCGGUUCUAUUUUGUUGGUUUUCGGAGCUCGAGGUAAUGAUUAAGAGGGACAGACGGGGGCAUUCGUAUUGCUGCGUUAGAGGUGAAAUUCUUGGAUCGCAGCAAGACGGACAACUG